UACGUAGGGUGCAGGCGCUAAUCGGAAUUACUGGGCGUAAAGCGUGCGCAGGCGGCUCCUUAAGUCAGAUGUGAAAGCCCCGGGCUUAACCUGGGAACUGCGUUUGAAACUGGGGAGCUGGAGUGUAGAAGAGGGGGGUGGAAUUCCAGGUGUAGCAGUGAAAUGCGUAGAGAUCUGGAGGAACACCGAUGGCGAAGGCAGCCCCCUGGGCUAACACUGACGCUCAUGCACGAAAGCGUGGGGAGCAAACAGG
rnacentral:rRNA from 1 species